UCGUCCAUUCGCUCGACAUGUUGCACUACAAGAGUCGCACAUCAACCAUGGCACAGUAGGUACGCAGGAACUGAACCCUCAACCCGUUGAAUCCAAUCCAAACUUCUUGUGAUGCUGUUUAUUCUGUUUCUCGUCUUGACCAUGGACGCUCUCAUUAUCGUGCGACAUUACACGUCACGCGAUGCCUUCGUCUGUAACGAUUAUUCGCCUUGUGUCUGUGAGAUUUACGAACCUUACGGAUUGGUUGUGCAUUGCGGAAGUGCCGUCGACGACAAGCUAUCCGUUACGGCUCUCGACGUUUCCAAAGCUCUCAAUCGCACAAAGGUUAGACACAUUUAUUGGCUAGAUUUGCUCUCCUUGGCCACCGAGAGCGAGUCUAGUGACAUCAUCAAGAUACCAGCCGAUUUGCUGAAUGGCAAAAGCGUCGAUCGAAUCGCAAUCAAUUGCACCUCCAUGGCUGGCCCUUUGCAAUUGGAAAUCCAUCCGGAUGCUUUCCGUUCAUCGCUGCAUCACAUCGGGCAUUUCGAAGUGGCUGGAUGCGACCUCAGCCGGCUGGAUUUCGAUUUCCUGGCUGAUAGUACUCGAUUAAUAAGUCUGAGUAUUACACGUUCCAUUCGUUUUGGAGGAUUCCCAGCGAUGGCCUUUCUCGCCCGUCUCAGAUCGUUGAGAAUUUACGAAUGCCUCGAUUUUCAGUACUGGAAUCAAAUCGCUGAUCGAUUGCCUCUGUUGGAAUCUCUUUUCUUGGACGGAACUCAGCUAGGAGAUCAUUCGGUGAAUAAACUAGUGAAUUCGAUUGCCUCAUCGCCAACUGGAAACGAAACUCUACAACAACUCAGUUUGUGGGAGAAUCGAUUGACGCGCAUCCCGGACAACGUCAGCUCGUUCAAGAGGCUGAGCUACGUCAAUUUGUUCGGAAAUGCCAUCCGCACAAUUCCGAAAGGUUCGCUGGCCUUUAGUCAAGACGUUCGCGUCGCCUUCCUUAUCUUGUCUAAAAAUGUUCUGACGGACAUCGAGCCAGGUGCUUUCCACGGAGAUUUCUCGGAAGCUCUCGUUUAUCUCGACUUCAAUUGGCUGACUCGAUUCGAUUCGGCCGUUUUCGAAGACAUGCUGCAACAAAUGAGUUACAUCACAUCCACGGCGGGCCUUUACGUGCACAACAAUCCAUUCGUCUGUGACGAUUGCCAUCUCUCCUGGUUAAUUCGCGACAAGCGACACCUGUUGAAAUACGUGCACAACGGCAGGUGCUCUAAUGGCACACUGUUCGAGAACUUGAAUCCUCGAGGCUACGAUCACUGCCUAUCGUGAACGGGAAGAAACGCUAUCGUUCAACCUUAGACCAAGCAGAGUUCUACCUUGCGUUUUAGUGGAGAAGACGGCUUUGGAAGACGACGGGUCAAUGACAUCGAAAACACGCCUGGACGGCGGAAAUGUUUUGCGAUUGUAUAUGACGUGAUUAUUGCGAUAACCCCACAGCCAUCGAAAUCAACAUUUUUUUUAGUGACUUUGGUUUAGCGAUUUUCCUGCAUCGAAUUCUGUAAGAAUUUGACAACAUUGAAAAGACACUGCAGUACAGUGAUCAGAAUUUUCCCAACAGACUGCGACAAAGGAUCAUCAAAAGACGGUCAUUCUUAUCGACGUAUCCGACGUUCCAUUUCCAGAUCUAUCGAAUUUCACCGAUCGUGUUUUUAAAAAAAUAGCCCACUGAAGUGGAGCACAAGUUGGACCCAACUGUCCGGUCAAACGGUUCUCCAAGGAUUGGAUGUGUGGAUAUUUGCUUUUCAAAGCUUGAAAAGGUAUAUCGGGCAGCCAUUAUGGAUAUCAUUUGUUUUCAUGUGCUUACCCUCUCCUCUGCGUUGAGUCGCUCGACGUUACGUAAGACCAACUUCCGCCCAAGAGCCAAAAUGGAGUGGUGGCCUUUUUAGUCCACGCCAUUCAUUAAUUGGAUACAUAAUAGCGAAGCUGUACGAGAUGGGCAAAAGACACGACCUUCAACGAAUACUUGAUUUUUCAGCAAUCUAAGAACAUUCGACAAGCGAACAAGGUUGACUUUGUUUAACGAAUUAAACUGGGGAACUCUUUAAUUGCUUGAAAAUAAUCCUUUAUAAAAUGGAUAAUUAGGUAUAAAAGGAGAACGAAAAUCGAUGGAAAUUCAGCAGACCUUCCUCAUCUCUUCUGCAAUAACCAAGCAGUUCUUUCUCCACGAAACAACAUGAAAUUCUCGGCUUCAGCAGCUAUUUUCCUGGCCGUUUGUUUGGUCUAUGUCCAUGCAGAUGAACGUCGGACUCAGUCGUAUGGAGGAAAUCGACCACUUCCAUAUCGGCCGACUUCUUACCACGUCAAACCCCAUCCCCCCAAUCCCUAUCGUCCUCUGCCUUACCAUCACAAGCCCCAACAUCCUUUGCCUUACCAUCCUAAGCCCAUCCAUCCGUUGCCUUACCACCCAAAGCCCCAACCCCCAACGCCUUACAAGCCCAAGCCUCAACAUCCCAAGCCUCAACGCCCCUCGACUCACCGCCCAAAGCCUCAGCGCCCCAAUCGUCCGUGGGUGAUGCAACCCCAAUCCGACAACACCAACAUCAACAUUAACCGCAACGAGAACACCAAUGUGGACAUCAUCUUUGCCGAGCUUUUCUCUCAGCUACUCGCCAACGCAGAGGACCCCUGUCUUUUUGACAUGGAUUGCUUCGAUAAGAAAUUGAAAACUAAAGAUAUUGCUGUUGAGGCAAAGGCCAACAAGACCCAAGAACAAGAGGCUGCUACCACCAAAGACACCGAGGCUGCUAUCAUCAAUGACACCGAAGAUGCUGCCACCAAUGACAUGGAAGCUGAUAUCACCACUGAAGCCGAGGCUGCUGCCAAUAGUGACGGCGAGGCUAGCCUGGAUCAACCUGAGCAGACCGAAGAAGAGGAUGCGGUUGUUGUGGAAUCACGCCAGGAAGACGAAGUCGAGCAAGACGAUGGUAUGGCGAUGUUUUAGGUAUUCCAGAUUCUAUUUCUUUCAAGCCGUGCACACCGAUCAACGAUGACGACGCAAAACCAUACCACUGAAUACUGAACCCAGUUAAACUGAGACGUUUGCUGGCUAGUGCCCAUCAAAAAUAGCUUCUAUUUUGUUAAUGGAAUUGCAUUUUUUGUUGAAAGUUUAAUUUCGUGUUGCAACUGUCUUUUGAUAUCGAUUUCCACAAUUUCUUGUUAUGGAUAAGAUGUUGAUACAGGCACUU